UAUGCUUAUUGCUGCGAAAGCGAUACUACGUACAUUCGUCUAACUUCAAAAAUGUGCGUAACGAUCGUUGUUUGACAUUUAUAAGCAUAUUUCUUUCAAACGUGUAUAAAUGUAACAUAUCAGUGCAUGGAUCUAGUACUACCUAAAGACGACAGCUACAGGUCUACUGUGCUCUUCUAUUUCAAUAUUUCCUGCAUAUGUUGAAUGGAUAUACCAAUAGAGGAGGUAAACGGGCUCCCCUCGUUAUAAGAAGCAAGAUGAAGAGGCAUGUUGUAUUGUUGAAUCACUCUCGCAACAGCCAACAAGUUCCUGGCUUUGAUACAAUGUCUAAAAACAAAACAAUAUUAGUCUUCAUAGCGUAGAUUUGGCGAAAAGGAAUUUGCUCGUGAACAGCACAAGGAGCAGAAAACAGAAAUCGAAGAACUUUCACGUCACGUAUACAUACAUACAUGUAUAUAAAAACCCUGGACGAUCUAUUAUCAAUUGCAAAACUUUUUUUUUUUUUAAAUAUAAUAAUAUGCCAUAUACAAAAGUGGGAUUAGAACGAAAGUUAAGAUGUAUGGUAC